rnacentral:lncRNA from 1 species
AACCUCAGCCCCAAAGCACGAUACUAAUUAAUACAAAGGAUGGCAGUGAUUAUUUUAACUAGGAAAUUUUUCCUGCUGUACUCGUCUAUGAUCUCAUUCAAUACUUGGUAUCUUAGAACUAUUCCUUUUGCACAGACCUUCUCUCCCCAAUCAGAGUUGUGUACGUAGACUGGUUUCACACAGUGACAUACAUCAUCUAACAGCGGCACUUCUUAGAACCUAUCCCCACUGUUCGCUGGCCCGUGAGUGUAGUAGAGUUAGCCAUCAGCGGCAAGAUGACUCAUGGACUUCUGGGGUGGAAAAGCUUUAUGCAAAGACAUGAGCAUGUUCUUAUGAAAUGUUUUCAUCAGUCAUCCCAAAGUCGCUCACUAUAUAAAUCAGAAUGGUUUUAAUUACAAGUCACAGAAAACCCCACAUUUACUUGUUUAAACAAUAAAUGACAUUUAUUGAGUCACAAAACAAAGUCCAGAAGUAGGAUAGGCUUCGAGGUUAUUUUAGUUGAGAGGCUCAGUUAGGCAAACAUGAAUGCAGUGUUUCUCUUUUCUCUUGUAAGAUGCAUAGUCUCUACCUGGCUCUUCUAGGGUGUGAACAUACCCAAGACAUUGAUGACGACCAGGGACCCAGCAUGGGUUAGUUAGCUUAGUCCUGAAUCAUAUGUCCCUCUUCUAGAUCCAGGGGUAGAGACCUAUUCUUUCAAAACAUAUAGGCUCUGUGGAAAGCUAUGGAUAGCAGCAGAUUUCAACAAUGACAUCAAAAUCCAUAUGGUUAGCCUGGAGCGGAGCAUGAUUAGAAGGAGGGGAGGAAACCUCUGUUUUCACUGCACCCUCCAUGAUGAGAACCCAAAUAUCCAAAGCCAUAUGUAGGUCACCUCCCUCUUCCAUUCCACUUCCUUCACUACAAAGUAGAUCCUUCCUCACAGCAAAUCGAUAUGCGAGAAAAAAAGGCUCUACAAUGGAGUAGCUGUUCUAGGCUAAAAGAUUUUCUUAUUUCCCACACUGUUC